ensembl:lncRNA LINC00326 long intergenic non-protein coding RNA 326
AGGACAGAUGAGGCAGAAGGGGAGGUUAGGGAGGUUUGAAGAGUGAGAAGAACUUCUGCAGUGGCUGACUUGGAAGAUGAAGGAGGUUAUGAACCAGGGAAUGGGGGCAGCCUCUAGAGGCUGAGAACCUGCUGACACCUACCCACAACCGCUAAGGAAAUGAAGACUUUAAUUCCACAACUGCAUGCAACUAAACUCAGCCAACAACCUGAAUAAGUCGGAAAAAGGCUUCUCCAGAGCCUCCAGAUAAGAGGCCAGGCUGGCGACACCUUGAUUUUGACCUUGUGAGACCUAGAGCAGAGAAACUAGCCAAGAUCACUCAGACUUCUGAUCUACAGAACUGUGAGACCGUAAAUUUAUGUUGUAUUAAGCCACUAAUUGCGUGGGAAUUUGUUACAGGAGCAAUAGAAAAUGAAUACACCUUCUGAUGUAGUUUAAUCAGUUGACAUUAGGGGUGACACCAAGAUGUGCUACACUGAACCCAACUUCUGCAUGUUUAAGACAAGUCUUCCACUAUAGGAAAUGGGAAUUUAAAGAUGAUCAGAAGACAGUUGGGAGCAGAGUGAGAAUAAGAACCCUCAACUGCUGUCUCACCUUUCAGAUCACGAAGAAGUUUUUUACAAUGAGCAGAACACUCAACCUGAAAGCAGAAUGGAUUGAGUCACUGCAGCGUGGCAGUGGAAUGGUGUUUGAUGUUGGCAAAGGAAACAUGUACUUCUAGACUGGACAGUUUUCCCUUAGUUUACAGUUUCCAAAUAGAGACAUCACUUUGAAAUAACAUGGAGAACAUACAUGGAUGUACUGAACGAAGAAUAAAGUCUGUGUUGCAGUCCUGUCUCCAUUGACUUUUACAAAUAUGGCUUUGGAUGAAUCACCUAAGUUUUAUUUUUGAGAAUUUACGCUUACCAUGUAUAAAAUGAUAUUGCUAAUAUGUUUGCUGCCUACCCCAUUGGGUUUUGUGAGGAAUAAAUGAUAAUGCUAAGAAAAAGGCAUUGAGAAUUAUAACUCAUUAUUCAAAUGCAA